ensembl:lncRNA
AUUAUGUGUAGAAAUCGUGGCCGCAGAAUGGAAACAAUUUAAGAAAAACAACAGUGUGCUACGCAUCUAGGAACCAAUUAUGUAGAUCUUGCGUGAGGGGGAUCAAAUAUGCGGUUGCACAAUGGAGAGCAACAUGGACAUCAGAAGAACUAAAGAGGACAAAAAACUGCUUGGAAGGCAGAUUAAAGCCAGUCACACAUUAUUGAAACACAAGGGCAUAAGCACAGUGUCACAUCGCACAAAGUGCAGAAAGCUUUAAAAGACCGAAGAGUGAAGCAUUAUGGGUAUGAGUUUCGGUACAAUAAUAAUAACAUGGAUAAAAACAAACCCUUACCGCGUGAAUAAUGCACCAUUACUGAAAAAAAACACCAUUGAUUCCUUGAUUGCUAUGGACAUGAAAAGAGCCAGCAUCACCCCCUGACCCCACUCCUAUUGAGAACCUGCGGAGCAUCCUUGAAAUGAAGAUCUAUGAGGGUUGGCGGCAGUUACCCCCAAACAACAGCUCUGGGAUCCUCAAAUGAAAUACUGCCAGAAACUAUACAUGGACUUACAAGUUCAAUGGAUGAGAGAAUUGUUAAAGUCAUCUCCAAGAAGGGUGCAUAUAUUAAUAUGUAACUUGAACUGUAAAUAUGUUUUAUGUUUUAAAUUGUGUUUAUUUUUGGAAAAAUGAUCUGUCCAUGCAGCACAUAUGACAGAUUUCUGUUUUGAGUUCAUUAUAACCCACUGAAUGUUUUCAAAGUGCUUUCAGCAUAAUUAU